AGAGGAUUAAAGAGUCUGGGUGCCUCUGGUCGUGCUUAGAAACGACACCAGGUGGCGCUCCUCCUUUUUCAGUCCCUGCCGCCUGCUGGCAGCUGAGCAGAGGGUUUCCCUGUACCCGGGAGCCAGGGCCCUUGUGCAGCCGGAAAGGACAAGGACACGUCGUCAGCUAACCCGGAAUGGCCUGGAGAAGCCUGUCCUUUGGAGGAGGGUGCAGGACGUCUUUCCUCAAGACAGCUAAGGCUUUAGUUGGCUUGUGCUGGGCGGCCCAGGAACAAAACUGAUCUUGAUGGAGUUUGGCAUCAAAUCGUCUCCAAGAGUCCUCCACCACAGACUGAACAGCGCAUGAACUAUCUGCAGAGAUCCAUGGAAACCACUAGCUGCUCAAUCCAAGAAUCUGGAGCCCUCAGACCAAGGGAACCAAUGACACAAGCCCAUUCUGAAGCCGAAGGCCUUGAAACUCUGCAGGGAGUUGCUGGUGUGAGUCCCCAUUCAAAAGCUGAAAAACCUGGAACCUGAUGUCCACAGACCACAACAACAGCAAAAACACACCUGCUCAAGAAGAGUCUUGUAUGCACAUGCUCCAGGCUUCCCUCUCCUACUCUUUCUUUCCUUUGACCCAGGCUUCAAGUUGAUGGGGUGGUGUCAGACACAUUCAGGAAAGGUCUUCCCCACAUAGUUUCCUGACCCACGCAUCCACUGUCUCUGGAAGCCUCUCAGGCACUCCCUAAAGUAUAUUUUAAUCAUUUCCGAGAUGUCUUUCAAUCCAGUCAAGUUGGGAACCGAUAUUAACUAUUACAGCUUGUCUCCUACAUAUUUGUUAUUCCCAAAGUACCAAGCCAGGCAACUUUCUUGCAGCUGACAUUAAUAUCCACGUCUUUAGACAAUGGACCCAUUCCACCAGUCUUACAAAUUGCAUAUUAACUACUCCUUAAACUUCAUCCCUAAACCUAACUAUCAGAAUUGAGCAUAAUUUGAUAUUUACACUAAAAUUUCUGGAGAUAGGUUUUAGAAACAUCUAUUUUUAACAAGCUCCCCGAACAAUUUGGAAGCAGCCAGCUUGUUGCCAGCCUGCAGACUGGCAUUUGAAAACCAAGGACCACUGUAUCUUUCUUCACCCCAGAAUCCUACAUUUCCUUUCCUCUUCCUGUGUGCCACCCUACUUUCUCUUAGCAACCAAAAACUAGUAACUAAGCUGGCCCAUCUUGAGAUGCUCACCAUGAGAUAAAGAUACACUUCCAAAGUCUUCAGCAAGUACACACCUCUAUGAGACAGCAAAACAUCGUCCUACCCAUGAACCUCUAUCUGCAAGUGAGUAACUACUUACACAACUCAGAUAACACGGUCCAGAUGUUUUGGAACACGGCACCCUUACCCAGGGACAGACUAUUUAAAAUUCCCACACUAACCUUGGACUCUCACUUGUCUUUAUUUCUGCUUAGUACUUGGGACUCUCACCUUCUUAGAAACCAGAUUCUGGGGUUUUCUCCCGCUGAGCCAACCUGGAGCAUCCUCUUCUGGGCAGCUUUUGUAAAGAGGCUGUUAAAGGAGAACAAAGCAGAUUCCAGAAAACUGCCAUCUGGUUUCCACGUUGCAGAUGCCCACAUGAGCCUUGAAAAAAAUCAGCAGGGGAGGAGGUGGAAGAUCCUGUGGGCUGGCUGAUGAAGGGAGACGUGCAAAGAGGACUUUUCCUCCUCAGAAUUCCUGCACUUGAACCUAGGCAUCAUAAUUGGAGCCAGAGAGAGACGACCGGUUGAUGUUUUUAGAACAUCUAAAUCCUUCAGUAAACAAUCUUAUUUUUAUAUUUCUAUUCCAGAGACCAGAGACCAGUGUUGUAGGACCACCUUCCUCGCUGUUCAGAGAUGUGCAGGAAACGAGUGUUUAUCUAAUCCCCCAUUGUUCCUUUUGCUUGUGUUUUCUAGUCAAACUUCAGCCAGACAAAAGGGACAAAGAGGCUUUCCCACCCCGUAUAUGCAUGUGCAUGUCACUAAGAUCUAUGUAUGUAUGUUAUAUGUCAUAUGCACAUCCAUAUAUAAUAUAUAUAUGAAUAAUAUAGGGUAAUCUACAUUCACUGUAGACAUGGUAAAAGUCAGGGCAACAAAAUAUAAUUGUAUUUAAAAUUUUUAGAAUUUCAAAACUAGAGAAAUCUUAGAGUUGAUCUAAUCCAACCAGCCUCAUUUUAGAGGAUAAAUUUGAAACUCAGAGGUGAAUUGCUCUGCCCAUGUGCAUGCAAGUUAGUCAGACUAGAUGCAUAGGGGUCUGAACACUGUGUGCCCCAGCUCUCUCUUGAAGAAUAAUUUGUUCUUUCUGCUGCUGUGAGAGCCAACAACACUAGUCUUUAGCGAUCCGCCUCUUUAAGAUUUACCACAGAUGCCUAGGAAUAAACCUUUCCUGGAGCAGUCCAUAUCCAAGGACCUCCUGACAUACAGAAGGCCAGCCUUUUGACUUUGUGUGGGGACACUUUAUGGACACUUUAUCUUCAGACAUCCUCAUGGGGCUGAAUGAGGCUAUCAGGUGGGCAGUGGAUCUACUCUGGGGUUUGGCUUCUCUCUCUGUUGUCCUCCAAUUCGUCUACAAAUGUUGAUCCCAAGGGCACUAAAUAAUAAAUAAAUAAACAUACUGA